CAGGAUACCCACGCAUCCUUGAAGAAUGGAGGGAGGUCGGGUAAGCUGAACGGAGAGAAGAUGAUGCGCCAGUAGGUUCUGGAGUAGGAACACUGCAACAUUAGGUGGUUCAACAUUUUGCCAGUUUCAUCGCACAGUGGGCAAUUGCCGAAUGUUGUAAUGCCUCACUUCAUGACAUUCUCCUUAAUUAAGAUUUUAUCCUGAAAGACAAGCC
rnacentral:lncRNA from 1 species